UUGAAACACUAGUUCUCGUAUGAUCACUGAAGUUAAGCAAUGUCAAGCCUGGUCAGUAGCUAGAUGGGUGACUGCUUAGGAAUACCAGCUGUUGCAAGC